UACCUAAUUGAUUCUCUCAGCGCUAUAUGCUUAGUGUAAAGAUCAAGCCGUGCAUGGCCGAGUUCAUCUAAAGACUAAAACUGCGAACAGCUUACUGGAGCAGAUGUCACUUAUUCGAAAAUUUCUUCUGGAUAACUGUGGGAAUUCCGGAGCUAACACAUGCGAAUAAAUCCUGACUUUCGAAGGGAUGUAACUAUUAGAGCAAAUCAAUUCUGAACCACACAGAUUAUAAUCGAUCGAUCACACUUUUUCUAUAAUAAUUGUUGAAUUAGAGGAUAGAGGUUGACGUAGAACAAAUAUCAAUCAGAAACUCCUCAAAGAAUUGAAAAAAAAAGACUGGGGAAGGACAAUCAAAUCAAAUUGGAUCAAUGUGCCCAAUUUC
rnacentral:ncRNA from 1 species